rnacentral:rRNA from 1 species
GACGUAGGGGGCCAGCGUUGUUCGGAAUUACUGGGUGUAAAGGGUUCGUAGGCGGUGUGGCAAGUCGGGAGUGAAAUCUCUGGGCUCAACCCAGAGACUGCUUCCGAAACUGCUGUGCUUGAGUGUGAGAGUGGCUCGUGGAAUUGCAGGUGUAGCGGUGAAAUGCGUAGAUAUCUGCAGGAACACCCGUGGCGAAAGCGGCGAGCUGGAUCACUACUGACGCUGAGGAACGAAAGCUAGGGGAGCAAACAGG